GAUGAACGCUGGCGGCGUGCCUAAUACAUGCAAGUCGAGCGAACGGACGAGAAGCUUGCUUCUCUGAUGUUAGCGGCGGACGGGUGAGUAACACGUGGAUAACCUACCUAUAAGACUGGGAUAACUUCGGGAAACCGGAGCUAAUACCGGAUAAUAUUUUGAACCGCAUGGUUCAAAAGUGAAAGACGGUCUUGCUGUCACUUAUAGAUGGAUCCGCGCUGCAUUAGCUAGUUGGUAAGGUAACGGCUUACCAAGGCAACGAUGCAUAGCCGACCUGAGAGGGUGAUCGGCCACCCUGGAACUGAGACACGGUCCAGACUCCUACGGGAGGCCGCAGUAGGGAAUCUUCCGCAAUGGGCGAAAGCCUGACGGAGCAACGCCGCGUGAGUGAUGAAGGUCUUCGGAUCGUAAAACUCUGUUAUUAGGGAAGAACAUAUGUGUAAGUAACUGUGCACAUCUUGACGGUACCUAAUCAGAAAGCCACGGCUAACUACGUG
rnacentral:rRNA from 1 species